UAAAGUGCGAUAUAUUGGCACUCUCCUUAUAAAUUAUCGUUCAAUUUCUCAAGCAAUGUGCCACUGCGCUCUUGUUGCGCUUUGAUGAAAGAAGUAAACAUUCAGCUGAUCCCUUAACCGCGCCGGUGUGAGGUGUUAUUCGGUUUCAGAAAUUUACUUGUAAAAACGCUUAUUUAGAUAAACAUGUAAAUUUCAGUGUAGAAUGUUAACGGGCACACAUUUUUGCAUGCAAAGAAAAGAGGUCCUUUAGAUUAAAACAGGUUUAAAAUGUGUACGGGUUCAAUUGUAAGUGAGCUACAUAAACAAGCUUGUCGUUUGUAUUUAAUUCUACUUUAUUUAAAUAUAGUAAUCUUUUUUUUAGUUUAUAAUGUGUUGAAGAGCAACAUCUCCGAUUUAAUAUAUGCCAGUUCAACUGAAGAGCUGAUGAAACAUUAUUAAGGCUUUAUUUCCAUCAGGUCUCGCUUGAAAUGCGUUGCUAGGAGACAGGGCACUGUUUUGUUGAUGUCAGUAUUUAGGCCCAUACAUGUAUUUUUUCUCUCUCUCUCAAUAAAUAACCUUUUUUAUUGGCCUUCUGCUGAGAAGCUGCAGCCAAGAAUAAAUGUUUUAAAAGGAAGAGUCUUGUGUUAAAUGUCUACUGUGGUUUUGUGGGAGACACAUCAGAAGACAAGACUACAGCAUUUUCUGUCAGACCUGGCAAUAUUAGGAUCCUUACAGAGUUUCCAUUAUUUUCAGCCUUGGCUGAGAGGAAAAGAGGAGCUGCUACUGACUGUUGUAAAUGAAGAUAUGGGAUGGCCUUCUCCUGGUUUUCCUGCCUCGGUUGUAUCAUCCUGCACCAGUCCUACUUGCAGUAGCAGUUACAGUCUGGACAGUGACUAUGCCAGCUUCCCAUUAACUAGCAAAGGUCCACAACUGCAACUCAGACCUCAGUCUCCACAGACCACUCAACAGCAGCCAAGCAGGAGUAAUGAUUUGCAUCUUCUCCCAGCUUCUCCCAGUGAGAAGGAGAUCUCUGUGCCAGUGAGCUACCCAUGAAUGAUAUUUUUUAUCUUACUGUGUUAGCAGUGAGAUUUCAUUAUAGCACUGAUGAUAAUGAAAAAUAUGCCUAAAUACAGGAAAUGAAUCGGCCCCUUUUCCUGUUGGCUGGCUAUGCUAAAUAUGGAUGGCCAUAUGCAUGGAUAUAAUCCAAUCAUGAACGUUUGAUUAGUGUCGGAGGUGCUGACUCACUGGCCAAAGAUACACCAAUGAAACUCAAAUCCAUCACAUACUGUGUUUUAACUUAUCAAGGACCACGAGUGUGGGAUGUCGCUAAUGAGCUGGUGGGUCUGUGUGCCAUGGCCCCUCCAGAUAAUCCUUUCUCUCUGACUACCUUCAAACCCUUCCUUUCCCAGAGCGCUUACUUGCAACUGGAGCACUCCUUAACUUCUUGGAGAUGAUUGUGGUUCAAGGAAGUCGCAAAGAACCAUUCUAUGAUCUGGGUGGGUGCCAUGCCGGAAAUUCUGAGCCUGCUGAAUCUGGUUUUACAGUAAAUGGAAUAGGAGCAGUGGACAGUCCUUAUUUAAUAGGAUCUAUGAAGUUGUGGAGGAGAUCCAAGCCCUUGAGGCAACUCCUUUAUCAGAGUCUCGCUGAACUCCUGAAACACCGUAAUGUCAAGAGCAAGAGCCUCUCAAAACUGGACUCUGCAGAGGAGCAGCAGCCUUCGUCAAACUGCCAUGGAUCUGGAGAUGACUAGACAGACUUUGAAAACAAUAUAACAGUUGCAGGUUCUCAGUGACAACAACCAAGAUGAUAUUCAUAUGCAUAUAAACCAGAAGAUCCUGUUAUUUUAUUCUUCCAAAUGUAUAAGAAGUUCUCUUUAUCACACAGUAUAUUAGGAACUUUUGGAAUCAUAGGUAUUUUACUCACUUUACUCUGGACAUCUAAUUGAGAAAUAAAUUAUAAACCUUGAACAUUUUUAUGUCCAAGUAUUCCUGCUUGGCUUACUUAUUACAAUUGCUUAAUUGUUCAUCUGAGGUUGCUGUUUGCCAUCUAUAAAAUGUAUAUGAAAGAUAAUGAAGCCUGUGCUUGCCAAAGAUGUGGGGAUUUUAGGUGUUUUUUUUGAGGAUACAAGCCCUUCAGUGUCUUGGCAAAAAGUGAACAUAAUUUCUCAUGACACUGUAUAUAAACACUCAACUAAGUCCCACUCAGGCCCAAUUGUAUAAAAAGUAUUCAUUUUUUUGUGUGGAAUUCCAGGACAAAUUCCUCAGAGAGGACAAGUUUCCUUAUGGUCUUUCAGCAAUAAUAUUAUAGUAUGUUGUCCCCAUCCAAUAGUACAGAAAGAGAUGAGGCAAUGGCACAUAUUACUGUAUAAAAUUUUAAUUUCUGAAAAUACAUAUAUAAAUAUUUAAACAAAAAAUAUAAAACAAAGACAUGCACAUUCAUUAGACAUUAAAAAUCCCUUGAGCAGAUACACAGAUCCUGGAGGCAGGUCUGGUGUCCUUGUAUUAUGGGUUACACGUGAAUAUAAAUUAGAUUAAAACCAAUGAGGAUAAAAUAUCCAAAACACAGCAGAGCCAACUGCCUGGAUGUUAUGAUAAUAAGGCUCUGUAGGUCAACAUUGAACAUGCAGAUACUUCUAAUUAGAAUAUGCAUUAACAACAUUGGCUGUAAAAUAGCAACUUAUGGACUUGCAAGGUCAUGUACAGCAGUCAAAUAUGUAGUAUUUAAUCCUGUUUAACAUACUUGGCUUAUGGUAGUAAGCCAAACAUAUACAGAAUUAUUGCUCUUAAUGAUAAAAUGCACACACAAAUUACCAUUUUGAUGUCACUAUCUUAAGAUCAUGCAAAUUAAAAAAACAAAAGAUAAAAUUUGAUGUUCAAAACCUGCAGCUCUAAAUUCAGAAAGCAGACUGAAGAUGGGAAGGAACAUAUAGGAGUUCAGAUUGACUCCAUUGGAAUGCAGGUGCACGGCAUGAAUCCUACACAAUCUGCUCAGGGCACAUUAUGUUCUCUCACUCAGUGCACACACAAACACAAACUGUGCCUCUUAUUUUCUCCAAGGUCCUGGCUUAUUAAUCCACUUUAUGGUUAAGGGUAAAUGAAAUGAUGAGAAUAGAUUUGAUCUUCCAGAUUUUUUUCAAUAUGGAUAUUCUACCACAUAAUCCACUAAAUCAUUUUAAACAUAGCUAAAGCUAUUUGAACAUGUUCAAAAAAAGUGUAGCUUUCUACCUCUGGUUAGAAGUUGCACCAAAAGUAUAUAUGAAACUGUGUGUAACUUGUAACUGUAGUGGUUUGUAACUGUGGUUUUGGGUGGUAAUAGGGAUAGAACUUCCAUUGCAACAUUGCGGUUCCUGCAUCCUCCCUGUUAUUACACAAAUACCUGAUGCAACAUACCUAAUACAAGCACCCAUUCCUGG